UGCAGAAGGAUCAUUAUAUAAACAAAGAGUGCACUUCAUUGUGGCUCAAACCUUUAUAAUUUAACCUCAAUACUUGUUUGUGUGAACUUUUGUUCAUUGCACUCAGGUAGAAGUGACAAUAUUUAUUUAUUGUUGCAUUAUCCCCCCCCUCACCCUAAUUUUUAUAAACUCAUGUUGAAUUAAGAAUGUAAACUUAUUAUUUUGAAAAUAACUUUUAACAAUGGAUCUCUAGGCUCUCAUAUCGAUGAAGAACACAGUGAAAUGUGAUAAGUAAUGUGAAUUGCAGAAUUCAGUGAAUCAUUGAAUCUUUGAACGCAUCUUGCACCUUUUGGAUAUUCCAAAAGGUACACCUGUUUGAGUGUCAUGAAAAUCUCUCAUCAAAUUUAUUUUUGAUGGAUGUUGAGUGCUGCUGAUUUUACAGCUCACUUUAAAUAUAUAAGUUGCUUCUUCAAUAAGUUGGAUUGACUUGGUGUAAUAUUAAUUUAUCAUCAAGGAAAGUAGCAAUACUUGCCAGCAUUUUGGAACUGAGACUUCUAAACCAAAAAUGAAUAAUGUUCAUUUUACUAAUAUUAAGACCUCAAAUCAGGUGGGACUACCUGCUGAACUUAAGCAUAUCAAUAAGCAGAGGAAAA
rnacentral:rRNA from 1 species